rnacentral:rRNA from 1 species
GAACGCUGGCGGCGUGCUUAACACAUGCAAGUCGAACGGAGCACCCUUGACUGAGGUUUCGGCCAAAUGAUAGGAAUGCUUAGUGGCGGACUGGUGAGUAACGCGUGAGGAACCUGCCUUCCAGAGGGGGACAACAGUUGGAAACGACUGCUAAUACCGCAUGAUAUAUUUGAGGGGCAUCCCUUGGAUAUCAAAGAUUUAUCGCUGGAAGAUGGCCUCGCGUCUGAUUAGCUAGUAGGCGGGGUAACGGCCCACCUAGGCGACGAUCAGUAGCCGGACUGAGAGGUUGACCGGCCACAUUGGGACUGAGAUACGGCCCAGACUCCUACGGGAGGCAGCAGUGGGGAAUAUUGGGCAAUGGGCGCAAGCCUGACCCAGCAACGCCGCGUGAAGGAAGAAGGCUUUCGGGUUGUAAACUUCUUUUGUCAGGGAACAGUAGAAGAGGGUACCUGACGAAUAAGCCACGGCUAACUACGUGCC